CGGUCACAGCGAAGGUGUUUACCCGGUCCCAUCCCGAACCCGGAAGUCAAGCCCUUCUGCGUCUGUCCCAAUACUGUGGUACGAGAGUCCACGGGAACGGCAG
rnacentral:rRNA from 1 species